ACCGUUUUCUUUUUCUUGUCUCUCUUUUACUUUUUAUUUUAAUUUAAUUUAAUUUAAUUUUACUUUUUUUGUAUUAAUCAUGUGAACACCCUGGGAAUAGAGGGAACUUGGUGACCGCAUGAUGACUGCUUUGUAAGUUUCAAAGUGACAUUCCAAGCAGGCUGUGCCCUAGCCUGUGCAUCUCCUGGGAUCUCCACAGCACAGCCUCUGGGAAGACGGAGCCAUCAGCCUCUCUCUGAAUAACUGGGAGAUGAAACAGGAAACUCUAUGACACAGUUGAUCGAAAAUGACACAGAAAAAUCAGGACUUGCACCCCCACCAACACCUCUACCUGCUGCCCACUGAUCGAAACUGCAUCCAGAAGGCAGCCAAACAAAGUGAAGGGCAGGAGAGGAGAGGAAGCUCCAGGUCGGCAGCUCCAACACCUUCCUCAUCCUUAAAGGACUAGAUGCUCACAAGGAGACGCUGAGGCUGAUGGUGACAAGAGCUAUCAAAGCUGGGAGGAAAUGAAGUAUGCUGGUGGGAAGCAGCAAGACCUGGGAAACUGAUGCUGAUCUUCCAGAGAGGUUUGUCCUGGGACGUGGAACAACACAACCCUCCUCACCCUCAUGUUUAAUGUCCUGUGCUUGCUGACAGUGAAAUCAUAAUGACACUGUUCAGUGCAGCCCAAGACCAAAGACUUCCUUCGCUUCAGCCUGUGAACUCGUCGUUUGCACAACUGGCCAAGACUUCUCUCGGUUUACCGAGGCAGAUGAACACUUGGUGUAUUCAGUGUGCCCUGUGACCUCACCCAGCUGCAGCCACCAUGGAUGUGGAUAAGCAAGGCUGUCCUCAACUCAGGGUCUUUGUGAAGGAUGCCCAAAUAAAUACACUGACAGUAAUUACAUAAAAAAAAAAAAAAAGACAGACAGACAGGGAUGGGGGAAGAACAUGUUAAAAGGCCAGAUCCAAGAAAAUUGGCACUAAAAGAUGCCCUGUCUGGUCUCCAAGAAGAGCUACGAGGGCCAAUGGGAAGGACUUGGCAUUGAGGAGCAGAUGAAGAGACUUCAAGAGAUGAAUUGCCCAGCCUGGCAGGGUGGAAUUCAUCCCGAAGCCUGUGCCCCCAGCCAAUAUACAAUAGCCACCAUGGUGGGAUUAACCUCCAUUCGGGGUCCAAUUUCUUCCAUUGGGGUCACUGGAUGGGGAGGGAGGUGGUACAUGCAGAAGAAGAAACUGAAGGAGUUGGGAAAAUCUCUGUCCACACACUGAGGUGGAGGAGAGCUGGACCAAGGCAACGGGAGAGAUGAAUAGGCACUGGGCACAGAGAGGACUUAACACUAGUCUUGCCAAAGAAAUUGGCACCUCAAUCCCAAGGGACAUAUAGAAGCUUCCUCCCUCUGAUUCUUGUGCAGAAAUCUUACCUUCCAUCCAUCCUGGUUUCCUCCUGGGAUGGUUACCCGGGGACAAAGAUGUACCUCUAUGAUAUAACUUCAGAGAAGGCUCAAGCUUCACCGUGGACGGUAAGACAGCCACUGGGCCUUAACACUAAAGGCAGCAGCUGCUGGUUUUUCACACAUUCCCUGUUGGAACAUGCAAAGCAUGUUGUGUAUGGUUUGACUAGAGCAGGAACUCCAUGACCAACAAGUAGAUUUUCCAUUUUAUGUAUUUUCCUGAAGCAACUGAACCACUUUGCUUUUUGUAGGCAGAUGGGCCUUUAAAAUCUGCAGGAGAAGGAAGAUUAGCUAGAAAAGACCUCAAGGGGUGAGAGAAGCCUGUAUGGUUGACCUGUCAAAGUAGAGUUUACAACAGGAUGCAGUGUCCCAUGUUUCCACCAUGACAUCAGUGUUCCAUGGAUGUGAAGCUUAAAAUAGUGGCGCAGUUGUAACACACUGUGAAUGCAGUGUAGAAUUUGAAAUUAUUAUCCUAGUGAUGAUCUAGCCAAGGAAAGAAGACUCAAGUGUUAAGAGUCUAAAGCUGGAGCUGGAGAGAUUGAUGGCCUAGCAGUUAAGAUAGGCACCCAUGAUGGGUAGCUCACAACCGUCUGUAACUCCAGCUCCGGGGUAUCUGACACCCCUUCUAGACUCCAAUGGCACCUGCACUCACACAUGUAUAACCCCCCACAUAUACAUAAUUAAAAAUAAAGUAAAUAUUUUUUUAGAAGGGAGUCUAAACCCAUGUGAGACCACUUUUUUUUUUCUGCAGUAUAUUUGCACAGCAAAAAGGGAUUUUUUUUUUUUUCCCGUGUUUUUCUGCUAUUGGAUGUUUGUAGUUGGGGAGCGUGGCCAGCAAAAGAUCAGCUAUACACCAGUCACUCUCAGAGGUGCCAGAAGAACAGGGCAGCCCAAGGCUCUAGCUUUCCAGGGAGCAGAGGAAAAGACAAAAAGCCCUUCUGAUGUUUGUCUCUGGCAGAAUUCUCACAUGAGUUAGCAAACAGUGAGCAAAGACAGAGUCAGACUUAGCUCAAAGAGCUACCUCUGGUCUGACCCCUGAGGCCCUCCACACCCGACCCGGCAGCAAGGAAGACCAGACAAUCAGCAGCGAACAGAAAACAUUUCCAAGAAUUGAUGGAAAAUAAGUUCCUGAUACUCCAUGGCAAGAACUUCCUUAAAAUUCCCCUGAAGAGGAACCCAUUUGGAGCUGGGUCACAUCACAGAGGCGGAAUCAUGAAUAGAUGAUCCCUCAUGGAACCUGGAGCUUGCCAAUUUGGCUAGAGUAGAUGGCCAGAAAGACCCAGGGACCUCUUCUCUCUACCUCCACAGAGCAGAUUAUAGGUGCAUGCCCACACCUGGCUUUUCACAAGGAUGCUGUAUAUCAGAACCUAGGACCUCAUGCUUGCAUGGUAAGCACUUUACCAGUCAAGCAAUCUCCCAGCCCUGGUGGGAGUUUUUAAAAUACAGGGUUCACAGAGCGACCCUUCUCUUUUGCUAAAUCUCUGAUCCGUCUUUGUUCACCAAGGCGUUAGAGUUUUGUGAGGACUUUACAUUUGGCCAAGAACUGGAUCACAUUUUCGUUUUAUUUUAGCUGAGCCACACUUUAUUUGAUUGUGGUCAGAGAAUCCACAAUCUGCUUUCUUCUUUGGAAACUUAUUUGAAGUUUUCUGUGUGAUAAUAUGGUGAGUCAUUCUGUUUUCUCUUUUAAGUAUACACACCUUUGUAUGGUCAUUUAAAUAUUCAUUCAUCCAUUUAUAACACCUUUCCAAACCUCUGCAUUUUCAUAAAACCUGAUCACACUGGUCCUUGUAUAUUUGUAAUGUAUUCUAUAUGGGCUCAUGUCUGGAACUGCACAAAGUCACUCACCCAGGUCCUCCUCUGCUAGAUGGACUGUUGCUCUCUGCAUCUGCAGAGUCCACAUCUGAGCAUCUAACCAGCUGUGGUUUCAAAAUACUUCCUUAAAAACUUGAGUUUGGUCAGGUAUGAUGGUUCACACUAACAAUCCCAGCAGUUACUUGGAAGGCUGAGGUAGGAGGAUUGUCACAGGUUGGGGGGUCAACCUAGGCUACGUUGUAAGUUCUAGCCCAGCCUGUGCUACAGUGUUAAGAUUCUGUCUCAAAACAAAACAAAACCUUAACCUAUAUUGAAAAGACUUUUUCCCCCCAUCAUUAUCCCACAAAAAGUAUACUGUUACACUGUGUACAGAUUGUUUAUAUUGUACCACGUCUGUGGGUACUCUCGAGAUCAUCUGAAGCAUGUCCUUCUUCUCUGAGAAAUUUCUACAAGAUCCAGAAUCUAUUCUUAAAAUAGGUACACAAAUCAAACACUUGCUGAUAACAGAUCAAGAACCUUUAUUUUAUAGCAAUUUUGGUUUACAUAAAAUUUGACCAUUUAUUAGAGAUGAAAGUAAAUUUUCAUACUAAUAAGAUAUGCUUGUGUAUUUUCACAUAAAGACUUCGAUCUUGGCUGGACCUUUGAUUCUACAGGAUAUAGACUAUCUCCAGUGUUUUUCAGAGCUGAUCACUAUGAUUUCAUGACUGCUGAUGUUGAGAAAACCACUUCACAUAACUAUGUAGGACAAAAUGGCAGAAGAAUGUUUCAUGCCACCUCAGAACUGUUGGAAAUUCUGUCAUAAUCCAAAGUCAAAAUUUAUCUAAUCAUUCCUUAUGAAAUUCAAGUCAGCAACUGAAAUAGCAAUUUUUUAAAUCAAAUACUCUAAAAUAAUGCAAUCUAAAGAUAUACUAAUUUGACACAUGCUGGGGAAUGGCAGUAGAAAAAAAUAUUCAAAAUCCUUGUUUUCCAUUAUAAAGCCACUAUAUUUUAUAAGAUCCAAAAGCUUUGUAUGCAUAGGAAAAAACACUGCAGUUCAUAACAGACAAUAGUCGCACAUCUGAGCCAAGGUGUUUCAGGCAGCCUAUGUUGGCGCUGUAUGCUGUGAUAGCAUAUGUAGUACAAAGUGCACACCUGUGUUCAGAAAGGCAGCAGUGGAGUUGCAGGAUGCAGCACAGGUAAGAGUUUCCAGAAGCACCUCAAAUUCAUUACACAUGUCAUUUUUUCAAUCAACUUUUUGUCUUUGUGCAUUCAAAUACUUUUUAUUGUACCCCAAUUUUUCAUGACCUAGUUAGCUUUGUCAUCUGAGAGGAAAGCCUCCAUCAAAGAAUUCCCUAGAUCAGAUUGGGCUGUGGGCAUAUCUGUGAGGGACUGUCUUGAUUAUUAACUGAUGCGGGGGGCUGCUCACUGUGAGUCACUACAUCCCUAGGCAGGUAGUCUUAGGCUUUAUAAAAAGCUAGCUAAGCAGAAGCCUGUGAGCAAGCGGUGCUUCUCCAUGGUGCUGCUUCAGGUUCCUGCCUUGCUUUCCUACCGUGACUUCCUCAGUGAUGACCUGUGACCUGGAAGCACAAGGCAAAUAAACACUUUCCUCCUCUAAGUUGCUUUUGGUCAGAAUAUUUUUU